rnacentral:rRNA from 1 species
UACGUAGGGUGCGAGCGUUUGUCCGGAAUUAUUGGGCGUAAAGGGCUCGUAGGCGGUUUGUCGCGUCGGGAGUGAAAACCAGGUGCUUAACACCUGGCUUGCUUUCGAUACGGGCAGACUAGAGGUAUGCAGGGAGAACGGAAUUCCGUGGUGUAAGCGGUGAAAUGCGGCAGAUAUCAGGAGGAACACCGGUGGCGAAGGCGGUUCUCUGGGCAUGACCUGACGCUGAGGAGCGAAAGUGUGGGAGGCGAACAGG